rnacentral:misc_RNA from 1 species
GAUAAGAACGUAGCGAAAUGCGAUAAGUAAUGUGAAUUGCAGAAUUCAGUGAAUCAUCGAAUCUUUGAACGCACAUUGCGCCCCCCAGUAUUCUGGCGGGCAUGCCUGUUCGAGCGUCAUUUCAACCAUCAAGCCCUGCUUGUGUUGGGGUCCUGCGGCUGCCCGCAGGCCCUGAAAACCAGUGGCGGGCUCGCUAGUCACACCGAGCGCAGUAGCACAUCUCGCUCAGGGCGUGCGGCGGGCUCCAGCCGUUAAAGCACCCACCUUUCGCAAGGUUGACCUCGGAUCAGGUAGGAAUACCCGCUGAACUUAAGCAUAUCAAUAAGCGGAGGA